UUAAAAACGGUAAACGGUUUACGUUACAAAGGUUUCCUCUGUUGCAAAAUGUACUUAACGCGGUUGAGUUCUGUUUUAUUCUUAAACGGAGGUUGUAGUUCAUUCAUGUCUCCUAUUUUUUUUAAAGUGUCUGGAAGAUUUCACUCCACUUUAGAUCAUGGAAGAACCGAUCAUUUAUAGAUGUGCAGCUUGUCACACACUUCUUAAACUAUUCAGAUUGGAAUGGCAACCCGUUGAAACCAUACAAUUAAAAUUAACUCCAACUUCUGUUUAAGAACCUAGGGUGAUGAUAUUUUCGACCUAGUUAAGUUAAUUACGUCACGUUGAAGUGUUAGGAGUAAACGGUUUGCAACGGAAUUUGACUAAUGAAUACACCCCUGCUGCUGCUCAUGUUCUCAGUUUUCCUGGGAAUUGGCUACUUUGAUAACAAUGUCGCGGGUGAAAAUGUAUUGGUUGCAGGUUUUUGAGCUACUUCUAAAUUGCACUGCGGACGCCAUAGCAUUUCACUUUUUGUUUUAUCUAUUCAUUUCACUGUGACCUGCUGCUGCUGACUAUCAGGUAGUGAGGUAGGCUGCUGCUGCUAAGUGAGGGAGUGGUGCAGGGAAGGUACUUCAUAUACAGUCGUUGGAAGGGAGGGACGGACCGGAGUGCCAGAAUUAUGCCUAGGCAACCGUACCACCGUGUGGUUGUCGUUUACCUUUGAACGUCUGACUAACAUGACAUGAUACCAAAGCUUUACCAACGUCUGCGUGUACCUAACAUGUCGUCAUACCAACGCAUUACUAACAUCUGCGUCAUGCAUGAGUGUUAAUAAAAGUAAUAAGGUGCGUGGUUAUAUUAAUUAAAUCUCAACCAUAAAUGUUAGAAAUUUAGCAGACAGAGAGUGCUUCUGCUGCAGCAGGCAGCUCAGCUGAGUCACGUCCGAGAAGAGCAGCACAUCAUGACAAGUGACGUGAGAUUCAACAACAGACGCCCUAGGUAGCUAGCUACAUACUUCUCCCUGUAGCAAGCUACAUACUUCUUCUUUGCUUUAUCAUGACAGCCAACACAGAAAGGGAGAGACACGGAGAAAUACACAAACAACAGUUUCAGAGAGAGGAUCGAACAAUGUGCUUUCUCUCUGGGUAUGGAAAAAAGGAGAUGCCCAUGGCAUCAGUGCUAAGAGUCAUGGGUAAGAUGACACCAGACCAAGUCCUCUAACCAGGAAGCUCAGACGUGGUAGCGGUUUGCGAGAUGAUCCAGAGUUAGGUGUCUUUAAAAAAGGCAAAAGUCCACCCCUUCAGCAUCUUGGCGGCAUCAGAAAAUUACAUGGUGGAUCUGGCGGGAAAGCGUUUUGCGGUGGCGGUGGACAUUAGCACACCUCUGAGCAGCAUUGUUCAGGGGACCUCAGUCAGCACGGUGGUCACAGCUGCAGCGAUAGCCAUGGUUCUUGUGCGGACGGAGGCAGAGACACUCUGAGGGAGCUAUAGUUCCUUGCACAAUCUCAGCCGACAUGUCUCUUCGUGAAGUAACAGCUAAGCUGGUCAAGAUAACCAGUGGCUAUACAGACUGCUCUCCCCAUCCUGUGGGCUUCGGAGAAAGGGAUCACUGUGAACAUGUUCAUGAUAUUCACCAACAGCGCCAACCCGGCGGCGUGUCUGAGGAUGUACAGACAUGUAAGUUGGAUGCAUCAAGGUAAUCCUCAAGAUAAUGAUUCUGUGGUGUACCACUGUCCUACCCCCACUGCUCUGUCAAUGCCAACCUGUGCUGCAUUGAUUGAAAAAUAGACUUUUGGAAAACACUUGCACAGAUACCAUGUCACAUGGAAUAUAUUAUUUUUUAAAUUACAUGUGACUACACUACUAACUACUCUUAAUCACAAUUCAAUCAUGUUUGUGUCAUGCACCUUAUGUGUCAUUAUGUGCAGCUUGGUCAAGUACAUUCUGGGGUUGUUCCUCCUCAAAGCACAAAGAGGAUUUCGACCACAACGCAGAUUGUUCUGAAAUGGUUUCUAUAGUUAGAAACAUAAGCAUUUCAACUGCAUUUUGUUGAAAUAUAAUUUGCACUGAGAAAAUAAGCUAAUUGAUUUCACCCAAAUUGGCAAUUUCAAUGUAGGAUUCAUAUAAUAUACAAUAAAUAUAGUACGUAACAUCCGAUUUCCACGAAAAUAGCUUAGCAAUUAUUAAAAUAUGAGGAAUCCAAAUAAAUUAUAAAACGACACAUACCCACCCCAAUUGGUCAGUAUAUAGUAUCCGUACUCUCUGUUUGAAAAGUUGUAUGAAGCUGUGACUUGGAGUAUUGUUUAUUCAUGAUAUGUAAUCUAGUCAGAGUAAAUAAUUAUUUUAUUUUUUCCUGUUUAGAGAUCCUGCUACUGCCAUUUAAAAAAAAAUGAUGGUGUUGUGUUUAUCAAAUGUAUCACAACAUUUUCUUUGGAACUUUGGGUAGAAAACCAAUAUCUUUUGCUCAUGAUGAAAAGAUGUUAUGGUCAUCCACAAUUCAAGUGUCACGCCCUGACCAUAGAGAGCCCUUGGUUCUCUAUGGUGUUGUAGGUCAGGGUGUGACCAGGGGGGUGUUCUAGUUUUCCUAUUUCUAUGUUGGUGUACUUGGUAUGGUUCCCAAUUAGAGGCAGCUGAUUAUCAUUGUCUCUAAUUGGGGAUCAUACUUAAGUUCUCCAUUGUUCCCACCUGGGUUGUGGGAUAUUGUUUGUGCUUGUGCUGGUUGCAAUGCUGAUGUCACGUUUUUGGUGUAAUGGUUUUUUUGUUUGAAGUUUCACCGUAAUAAAGAUGUAGAACUCUA